UGGGGUAUCUUGGACAAUGGGCGAAAGCCUGAUCCAGCCAUGCCGCGUGUGUGAAGAAGGUCUUCGGACUGUAAAGCACUUUAAUUUGGGAGGAAGGCCAGUAAGCGAAUACCUUGCUGUUUUGACGUUACCGACAGAAUAAGCACCGGCUAACUCUGUGCCAGCAGCCGCGGUAAUACAGAGGGUGCAAGCGUUAAUCGGAAUUACUGGGCGUAAAGCGCGCGUAGGUGGUUCGUUAAGUUGAAUGUGAAAGCCCCGGGCUCAACCUGGGAACUGCAUCCAAAACUGGCGGGCGAGAGGAGGGCAGAGGGUGGUGGAAUUUCCUGGGUAGCGGUGAAAUGCGUAGAUAUAGGGAGGAACAGCAGUGGCGAGGGCGAGCACCUGGGCUCAUACUGACACUGAGAUGCGAAAGCGUGGGGAGCAAACAGG
rnacentral:rRNA from 1 species